CACUGGGCCCCGUCAGCCCAAGGGUUCCUUCGUCGCUUAGCUUCGCGUCGGCCCGGCCCGGCCCGGCCAGCGGGCAGAUGCUCCGAGCUGCCGCUGCCGACGCCGCCGACCCGGCCGGUGGCGGUGUGGGAGGCGGGCGUCCGGCCCCGGGCCGCUGAGUGUGACGGACGGGGCCGGGGGCCGCCGGGCGCCGCGGCGUCGGCGGCUCCGCGCGGACCAUGUAUUUCCUGAGCGGCUGGCCCAAGAGGCUGCUGUGCCCUCUGGGGAGCCCGGCCGAGGCGCCUAUCCACGUUCAGUCCGACCCCCAGAGGACUUUCUUCGCCGUGCUGGCCCCGGUCCGCCUCAGCAUCUGGUACAGCCGCCCUAGUGUGUUAAUUGUAACCUACAAGGAACCUGAAAAAUCAUCUUCUCAGUUUGGAUUCUACAAACAAGCUGAAUGGAGGCCAGAUAGUACCAUGAUAGCUGUGUCAACUGCAUAUGGCUACAUCUUGUUUUUUCAUAUUACAUCUACAAGAGGGGACAAGUACCUUUAUGAACCAGUGUAUCCCAAAGGAAGUCCACAAAUGAAGGGGACACCCCAUUUUAAGGAAGAACAGUGUGCUCCAGCAUUAAAUUUAGAAAUGAAGAAAAUAUUGGAUUUGCAAGCACCCAUCAUGAGUUUGCAGUCCAUGCUGGAGGAUCUCCUCGUUGCUACUUCUGAUGGACUUCUUCAUCUUAUUCACUGGGAAGGAAUGACAAACGGAAGGAAAGCUAUUAAUCUUUGCACAGUACCCUUUUCAGUAGAUCUGCAGUCGUCUAGAGCAGGUUCAUUCCUGGGUUUUGCAGAUGUGCACAUCAGAGACAUGGAAUACUGUGCCACACUUGAUGGAUUUGCUGUUGUGUUUAACGAUGGUAAAAUUGGAUUUAUUACUCCAGUGUCAAGUAGAUUUACUGCAGAGCAGCUCCAUGGAGUUUGGCCACAAGAUGUUGUUGAUGGAACUUGUGUAGCAGUAAAUAACAAGUACCGACUCAUGGCGUUUGGUUGUGCAAGUGGUUCUGUACAGGUUUAUACAAUAGAUAACACCACUGGAGCUAUGCUGCUGUCUCAUAAACUAGAGCUAACAGCAAAACAAUAUCCCGAUAUUUGGAACAAAACAGGAGCUGUUAAAUUGGUCAGAUGGUCUCCUGACAAUAGUGUUGUAAUAGUGACCUGGGAAAAUGGAGGCCUAUCUUUAUGGAGUGUGUUUGGAGCCCAGCUGAUUUGUACACUCGGAGGAGACUUUGCUUAUAGGUCUGAUGGUACCAAAAAAGAUCCCCUUAAGAUCAACUCUAUGAGCUGGGGUGCAGAAGGCUAUCACCUCUGGGUAAUCAGCGGAUUUGGUGCUCAAAGUACUGAAAUUGAGUCUGACUCCAAGAGUAUAGUUAAACAGCCUGGCAUUCUGCUAUUUCAGUUUAUCAAGAGUGUACUCACUGUAAACCCUUGUAUGAGUAACCAGGAGCAAGUGCUGCUUCAGGGGGAGGAUCGAUUGUACUUGAACUGUGGAGAGGCCUCACAAACCCAGCACGCCAGGGGUUCCUCGGCGCACCCUGAGCAUAAGGCUGCUGGGGCCAAGAGCCCCUUUGCAGAUAGCGGUGUAGAGUCUCAGGGUUUAAGCACUUUGCUUGGACAUCGGCAUUGGCAUGUGGUGCAGAUUUCCAACACCUAUCUAGAGAGCAAUUGGCCUAUACGGUUUUCAGCUAUUGAUAAGCUUGGACAGAAUAUUGCUGUGGUUGGCAAGUUUGGUUUUGCACAUUACUCUUUACUCACCAAAAAAUGGAAACUUUUUGGAAACAUUACCCAGGAGCAAAAUAUGAUUGUGACUGGUGGCUUAGCCUGGUGGAAUGAUUUUGUUGUCCUGGCAUGUUAUAACAUAAGUGACCAUCAAGAAGAGCUCAGAGUUUAUUUGCGAACAUCAAAUCUGGACAAUGCCUUUGCUCACAUCACCAAAGCACAAGCAGAAACAUUACUGCUCAGUGUCUUCCGGGACAUGGUAAUAGUAUUUAGAGCCGACUGUUCAAUAUGCCUUUACAGUAUUGAAAGAAAAUCUGAUGGUCCCACCACUACAGCUGGUAUUCAGGUUCUUCAAGAAGUCUCCAUGUCGCGCUACAUUCCUCACCCUUUCCUUGUGGUGUCUGUCACUCUGACGUCAGUGAGCACAGAGAAUGGGAUCACCCUGAAAAUGCCACAGCAGGCUCGCGAUGCAGAGAGCAUUAUGCUAAAUCUCGCAGGACAGCUCAUCAUGAUGCAGAGGGACAGAUCGGGGCCUCAGAUCCGGGAGAAGGACAGUCACCCUAACCAAAGGAAGCUUCUGCCAUUCUGUCCUCCCGUUGUACUGGCCCAGUCCGUUGAAAAUGUCUGGACCACGUGCCGAGCAAAUAAACAAAAGCGUCACCUUCUGGAGGCCCUGUGGCUGAGCUGUGGAGGUGCAGGGAUGAAAGUUUGGCUCCCUCUCUUCCCCAGGGAUCACCGCAAGCCCCAUUCCUUCUUGUCCCAGCGGAUCAUGCUGCCUUUCCACAUCAAUAUUUACCCCCUGGCUGUUCUGUUUGAAGACGCGUUAGUCCUUGGUGCUGUCAAUGACACUUUGCUCUAUGAUUCUUUGUACACGCGCAACAGUGCUCGGGAACAGCUGGAGGUGCUCUUCCCUUACUGUGUCGUGGAGAGGACCUCCCAGAUCUACCUCCACCACAUUCUGCGUCAGCUGCUGGUCAGGAACCUUGGGGAGCAGGCCUUGCUCUUGGCCCAGUCCUGUGCUGCAUUACCUUACUUCCCUCACGUGCUGGAGCUCAUGCUCCACGAAGUGCUGGAGGAAGAAGCUACCUCACGGGAACCCAUUCCCGACCCUCUGCUUCCCACUGUGGCAAAAUUCAUCACCGAGUUCCCCCUCUUCCUGCAGACGGUUGUUCAUUGUGCCAGGAAGACUGAAUAUGCCCUGUGGAAUUACCUUUUUGCAGCCGUUGGAAACCCCAAGGACUUGUUUGAGGAAUGCUUGAUGGCUCAGGACUUGGACACAGCUGCCUCUUACCUUAUUAUCUUACAGAAUAUGGAAGUUCCGGCAGUAAGUAGGCAACAUGCUACCCUUCUGUUCAACACAGCCCUGGAACAAGGCAAGUGGGACCUAUGUCGACACAUGAUUCGAUUCCUUAAAGCCAUUGGCUCUGGAGAAUCUGAGACCCCUCCAUCCACACCUACAGCUCAGGAACCCAGUUCAAGUGGUGGAUUUGAGUUCUUCAGGAAUCGAAGCAUCAGUUUGUCCCAGUCAGCUGAGAAUGUUCCUGCUAGUAAAUUCAGCUUACAGAAAACACUGAGUAUGCCAUCCGGCCCUUCUGGGAAAAGAUGGAGCAGAGACAGUGACUGUGCUGAGAACAUGUACAUUGAUAUGAUGCUCUGGAGACACGCCCGGCGUCUCUUAGAAGAAGUUCGGCUGAAGGACCUCGGCUGCUUUGCAGCCCAGCUGGGCUUUGAACUCAUCAGUUGGCUGUGCAAGGAGCGCACCCGAGCCGCGCGGGUGGACAACUUUGUGCUGGCCCUGAAGAGACUCCACAAAGACUUCCUGUGGCCACUUCCCAUCACCCCAGCCUCUUCUGUCAGCUCUCCUUUCAAGAAUGGAAAAUACCGAGCAGGAGAGCAGCUGCUGAAGUCUCAGUCAGCGGACCCUUUUCUAAACCUCGAGAUGGACGCUGGGGUCUCUACUGUACAGCGAAGUCAGAGCUGGCUCGGCAGCAUCGGCCCCGCCCACCAUGAGAUAGACACGGCCUCAUCCCAUGGACCACAAAUGCAAGACGCCUUCCUGUCACCUUUAUCUACUAAAGGUGAUGAAUGCAGUAUUGGUUCAGCCACAGAUUUGACGGAAAGUAGCUCCAUGGUGGACGGAGACUGGACAAUGGUGGAUGAAAACUUCUCCACACUCAGCUUAACUCAGUCGGAGCUGGAGCACAUCUCCAUGGAGUUGGCCAGUAAGGGGCCUCAUAAAUCCCAGGUCCAGCUUCGGUACUUGCUGCACAUGUUCAUGGAGGCAGGGUGUCUAGACUGGUGCAUCGUCAUAGGCCUGAUUCUCCGAGAAUCCUCAGUAAUCAGCCAGAUCCUGCUGCUCAUCCAGUCUUCGGAGGUGGAUGGAGAGAUGUUACAGAACAUAAAGACAGGGCUACAUGCGGUAGACCGAUGGGCCUCUACGGAUUGUCCUGGAUAUAAGCCAUUCUUAAACAUCAUUAAGCCACAAGUACAGAAGUUCAGUGAGCUGACAGAGGAGCAGGUCCAGCCUGAAGCCUUCCAGCCAAUAACUGCGGGUAAGACUCCUGAACACACUGGGCCCCGGGCAGAGGAAAGCCGGGGCCCCUCGGGCCAUGGAAGCCUCCCCCAGGGCGAGGUCGGAGGCAGCGGUCUGGUCGGCAGGAACGAGGAGGACGCAGCCCGAGCAGAAGAGGAGGAAUCCUUUCAAGACGGGACUUACGACUGUUCUGUGUCCUAACGGCAGCGGCGUGCCAUCACCACGGGCAGUGUUAACUUGCAGCGGCAUGUGCAACUGAGGAAACUGGCCUAGCUGGACGAUUUAACCAGGGAGAGAACUCAGAGACUCUGAUUUCAAUGCGCUUCCAUUUAAGAAUCCCAGAAUGUUAUACUGUGGAUAUGGGCAAACUAGUACGUGGAAAGACAGAAGACAAGCAGUAUAUCGAAGAAGAACAAAGCCUGACAGGAUGGAUACCACCCACCUUCGAGACUUGAUCAAGACAGCAUCGUGAUGGCAAAAGACACAAACAGUCAUGGUCCUUUAACAUGUGGCUCCUCGGCAGUGUCAGAUACCCUGCCAAGUCCUGGUGCAGAGUCUCUCGGGACAAGAUACAACCUGCCCACCACAUGCUGUGCCUCCUGCCACCUCCACCCAGCUCCCACCCACAGCUGUCCUCAAACCUCCAUGGAGGCUACAGUCUGCACAUCCAUUCCCUCUUCUCCAAACCGUGAGGCUCAUCUUCCGCCCUGUCCCGCAUUUUCUGGAUGCAGUUUGGUAAUGGGGGUGAGGGAAAUGCAGUCCCAGAGCAGAAGAGGAGGAGGGGGGCCUGUGUUUGCAUCCCGCUCUCUUAAAUUUCACUUUUAUUUCUGCCUUAAAUGUCCCAUCUUCCAUCACUCUAGGUUCCGAAACGGGUGCAAAAUAAAACGAAGAGAAGCGCGAGAAGGGUCUGCGCGGCGUGCGCACGUGUGAGCUGUCUCGUUCCUCGUGAGGGUCCUGAUGUCACUGAGCACCACCCGGGACACCUGCUACCCCACUGCCAGACGGGAGAGUGCCUGCUUCCUGGCAAAUAUACUACAAACCCCCAAGGACUGAAAGGAACGCUUUCUGAAAUCCGCAUUCCGAUUCAGUUCUCCACGAUCCAAGGAGCGCAGGCCGCCUCUGCCUCAACCACUCCGACCGCUACACGUCAACAUGGAAUCACGACUGACUGACGCCACCAGUGUCCAAGAGCCACGCGGCCACUUCACGUGAGGAUGAAAACUAAACGAGGUUUCCGGGUAUUCCAGCAGGCGUUCUCCUGAGGUUUUCCUAGUAAAAUCUAACCUAGCAGGUGAUAUACUUUAAUCCUCUCCCUAUGCUUGCUAAGAUUUCCUCACUUUGGAGUCAUUUUCAGUUUCCACAGUGAAGAUUUCAGGGUUUAUUUUGUCCAGUUCCACGUGGGACAGAACUGAAAUGCCCCACAUUCUGAUCAUCUCCUAUGAGCCUUCAUCCACUGGCCCUGAUUUAAAUACACUGGGGACCCAGUUUCUAACUGAGCUGAUUCUGGAUCAGAACCUCAUCCACGUAUGAUGAAACCCCACCAACUCCGUUCACCUUCACAGCAGCAAAACCAUCCGCUAACACGUACAGAGAAUUUAAAGGCUUAAUAUUAAAACCAAAGGAAGUAAACCCUGCAAACCACAAAGAACAGUUUAGAAUUUUCCAUCCAUCCACCCCCCGAAAAUGCCAGUAAGGACCUGAUGAUUGUAUCACAGGCACGAUGGCUGGAACGCUCAGACUUCUUUCAGCUGAGCACAAGCAACAGUGUGCAGAAGCAGCACUCUCCUGGGCUAGAUGCACAGGUGCGCAUACAACUCUUUACGGCCUCCUUAAGAGACUUCCGGGGAUGGUGCGGGCCAGGCACAUGGUAUUCUUACGUGCUGUCUCUCAAUCCUGACCUCCAUGAGAUGUCCUUUACUGAAUCGGUGUGGAAAGGCCCACCAUCAUCUCCGUGGAGGAAAGCACUAUAAUAAAGUCACAACUACUCUUCUGUGUAGUCCCCUAGCUGCAAAUCCUGCAGUGUGCCUAUGGGCGUUCAGGAGUUGCUUCCUAUUCUUCCCAAUUCCAAUGGAAAGAGCCACAACACAGACGCCUGACUCCACCAGCGGGGCCAGACCGGAGUCCUGGAAAGUACGGACGCCGUGCCGAGGGCAGAGCUUGCCCAGAGCCCGCUCUAACACAGGGGGGUCCGCGUGGGGUCUGCCUUCUCUCUGGACAGCUGCAGGGAGGGCAAAGGCAGGACCGUCCCUGUAAGGGCAGAAUGCCGACACCAGAAUUACAAGGCCUGUGACGCUCUGCAUCCAUACGUGUCCACCCGAGGAGAGGGGCUCCGUUACGAACUCUGCGGCCCCAGCAGCCAGGUAGCUGAACGGUAAAGGAAGGAGCCUCAUCAGAACCAGUCUUCCUCCGCCAGCUCUAAAAACACUAAUAAAACCACCACGUAUUUAUUAACCUUUGCCUCUAAUUAGGAAUUGUUCUAAAAAUCCACCACCAAGCAAUCUCUACCAGUUCUCACCUGGUGUGCGUUCUCCAAAUUCACGUUCAGCUGGUUUGAAGGCUGUGAGGAGAGGUACGACCAGAGCACUCGGGAGGACCAGGACACAAAACUAAAACCCCAUUUCCCAUCUUCUUACCACACCAAACCUACUUUCUGCACACACAUGACUGUUUCUUUUGCUUAAGUGUUUCCAAGUAUAAGCAACACAAUUUCACAGAAUCGACUGUGGCUAAACUCAUCACAUAUUCAUAUAAAGCAUACAGGAAGAACUAUUUUUUAAAUGUCUUUUCCUUACAAAAUAGGAAGACAGGAUCAUCGUACAACCAGCCAAAAUGGAAGCCAGCACGACGUCAGGUGGGAUUUCUGUACCACUCCUCCCAAGGAUGGGGGUAAACAUCUCGAAUACUGCCCAGAUGAGGUACAGUGCGUAAAGAUAAGGAACAAACAUCCCCGAGAGGUACAAGGCAAUAAAUUUUCCUUGGGCACCUAGGGAAAAAGAGAAAGAGAUCACACAUCUUUGAAAUUCUACAGUGAGACACAGAUUUACAUAGCACUGCUGUACCUAACACAGAACAUUUCACUCAGGGACGUUAAAAUACAAGUAAGAAUGAAAUGGAACGUAGGUAAUACAUCAGCAUGCAUUCAUAAAUGUGAGAAUGGGAUGGGGUAUAAGGUAGAAAAUAAAAAUCCGUGUGAUAUGAAAAUUUAAAAACAACAAACAAAAAAAACCCAAAACACAACACAGCAAGAAUCUUGAGACCCUAGCCCAAAAGACCAAAAAAAAGAAACAAUUCCCACAAGUCCUGUCUUAUUCAUUUUAAGGUAUUUUCCCAUUUGCAUAAAAACCCAAUAUACCCUACCAUGCUGCUUAAAGUCUUUGCGCGUGCAAAACUUUGUGAGCAAGGGAAACGCCACCCAGACAGCACUAAUAAACGCCGAGCAAAGUCCUUGAGACGUGAGAGCCGUAAGGGAAACACAGUGCACAAACAGCGAGAUGUCAAAGAACACUUCUCCCAGAUACCGGUCGCUGGCAUUCUGAAAGAAAGAGAGAUAUACCAGUAAUCUCAUUCAUGGGCAUUCAUAAAGAUCUAAUAUUGUGAUAAAAUUUCCAUCCCUCAGAAGAGUUAUUUUGUUUCAAAGAGCAUUUUACACUUUAAGUAAACACUACCUCCUGUCAUGACGUAACGGAUUUAAAUUGCUGCACAGGAAAGGGGCAUUUAGGAAGAUGGGGUAAAAACAUUACUCGUGGGGUGUCUGGGUGGCUCAGUCAGUUAAGCUUCCAACUCUUGGCUGGUUUCGGCUCAGGUCAUGAUCUCACGGUUCGUGGGUUCGAGCCCCGCAUUAGGCUCUCUGUUGUCAGUGUGGAGCCUGCUCCGGAUCCUUUGUCCCCUUAUCUCCGUCCCUCCCCAACUAGCGCUCUCCUUUCCUCCUCUCUCUCUCAAAAAUAAACACUUAAAAACAAAACAAAAUAUCAUUACUCGUAUGCAAUCUGUGCUUUUCUUCCACUGGGCUAAAAGGAACCUUUGGAAAUUUCCUAAAAUAGAUUUAGGAAGGGCUCUCCUAAAAACAUACACCCCUGUAGGCUUUUCUAGUUUUGCAGCUUCCAAAGGCAAGAAGGGACCUGCAAAGAACAGCGCCACCAGCAGCACGCCUGGAAAACUGCAGGCCCUUCGGGGACCUGGCCCUCUGGGGUUUGGCUGGGUUCCCAUGUCUCUUCCUCCUCUAACUGGUCUUGUGGUGCAGCUCGGCCCCGCCCUGACUUCCCGGUGCCUUCACGUUCAGAAAUUUGAUCUGUAUUUCUGGGCUUUGAAGUCUGAGGAGUCCCGUGCAGCACCCCGAGCUCCUCAGAAGAAAGCUGCCAUAAGAACUUCAUACCUGUGAACGUCUGCACCAGGGCUUCCAUUAACAUGACCAACAAAGUUACCACUGCAGCGCAAAAACCCCAAAAUUGGCACGUGGGUUACUUGGAGAGCUCAAGACAGCUUCGGUCACGAGUUUUCAAAACCUGUUCAAGUUCUCUCGACAGACCCGCUCAGAAAUCAAAGGCUAUCGCUGCUGCACUUUGACGUACAACGCAGCGUGAAGAGGCACAGUCUUCAAAAAUAAUUCAGAGGAAAAUGGCACUUAGGAUUCGAUCUCAAGCCGAGUACCACCCAGACAUGUAACGGUACUCAGAGAUCAAACAGACGCCCCUCAAGUCUGGCUCCCCUCUCUCGCCUCUGAUCCCUGCCACCUGCCCACUGCCAUCAGUCUCUACGCUGUCACGGUCACUCGCGGUCCUACUCAGAAAACGUCACUGGCAGCCUCACUGAUCCUCAGGGUCGUGCUCCGGCUUCACGCUGGCCUGCUCUUCAGGUUACCGUGCCACCGCCUCAUGUUCACCACACUGAGCUUACUGACCGUGACCCGAAUGCAUCCUGGGCGCUCCCACCUCUGACCGCCAUCUGCCGCACUUCCGCUCCUGCUUCAAAACCCAGUUCACACGCCACCACCUCGUUCACGAAGCCUUCCCGACCUCCACAAACCGACUCCUCUCUCCUGGCCCCGUACCGCUCUAGCCGAACAGGCCGUUCCCUCACCUCAUCCCAAGGUACUGCGAACAAGGGUCUCCCCCAGCCCCCCAGAUGAAGCUGUGAGCUCCUCCAAGAGACCCGUCCUUAUGAAUCUCUUCCCACCGGGCCGUCGCAGGCAGCCAGGCCCACCAGGCAGCUCUGAGAAUAGUUGUGAAAUGCAACCCGUCUUCCUUUCCAUUGUGCUUUCAUCCCCAAAGUUCAUGAUCAGACGACUGAAAUUAGUCCAAGUAAAUGGAACUUUACUCGUAAGCAUUUCUGUCUCUGGCCCCCCUGCCUCAUUAACAACGACCCCCACACCCGGGUAACAUACCACUGCACUAAGAAUAAGCACAUGAACUUGAGUCCCACAGCACAAUCUCUUGGACACGGAAGCCACAAAGACACAAGUAUUAGUUCAUCCAUGAACAGACGGCUAGCUUCAAAGGGCCUCUCCUGGGGGUUGGCAUGGAAGCGGUCCUCAGACCACAGCCCAACAUCAACUGAAACGGAGACCAAGGUUCAUCCACGGUCUAGCACCAAAGACAUCCUUGUGGAAAGACGCCGGAUUACCUAACCUUCUGUCUGCAUUCUAAUCCUAGCAGGGCAAACUGAAAAAACAGGUGCGCAUUGGCUGUCUUGAAAAUAAAUAUGGGAGCUAACAGAUUUUUCCCUUUAAGUCACUUAGAAACUCUUUAGAAACCAUGGGUCACUUUUGCAUUGUAGUUUACUGUGAGUCCUGUUACACGGCUGAAACCGUAACAAUAUGGGGAUAUUCUCCCCAUCAGCAUAGAUCAUUCUGGAACCCUAUCACUCUUCCCUCUUUUUCUCCUAGGAGGUGUCCUCCCCCUGCCACAGCACAUCUGCAUGCCGUCAGAAUCCGCAUUAACACACGGGGUAAAAGGGAAAAAAAAAGUGAAGGAAAUGGAAGAGAAACUCCGAGUGCAGCUUCAGGGCAACAUGCUUCCUGCGUGUCAGUGCCCUGUGUCCGAGGGGCCCGGGCACCAGCGACGAGGAGCACGGCAGCCGGGCCCUCAUGGCGCUCAACCCACGGCCCAGCGGAGGACCGAGCCACUCACAAGAGGAACGGGCGAGCCCGGGGAGGGCUGGGGGACCCAAGUGCAGAGGGGCACACCGAAGCAGAUUCGGCCUUGCUGUCACAACCACCCAAACUCCUCACAGCUUGAUAACAGCACCGAAGCCUGCAACAAAACCCUCCAAAGCAGCAGCCUUCCAGAACCCGAACACGGUUCUGGGAGCCAGUCUUCUACGAUCAUGCCAAACCAUUUCUGACGCCUCCACAGGCCAAAUACAAUGAAUCCCACCAGAGUCUGUCUCCAAUCCCUGCAGGCGACAAAAAAAAAGUCAAAACACAUGCCUAACACUUACCAUGUAAUAAAAUCUUUUUGCGAGGGUAUGGAUGAGGAUUAUUUUGGCUGCAGCUGCGGUUCCAUACAGACAGACGGACACGUAGAAGUGGUUAUACCACGAGAGAGACCGUCCGAUGAGAGAGACGAACACCGCUAUAAUGAGCACGGUAACCAGGCUGGUGAACCAGCUCACGAGAGUGAUGCCGAGCCCGCAGAAGAAGUCCUUCGUGUAGUUACCAGCUGGAGACACAACACAACGUGGACGUCACCAGCUUUAUCAAACCAGUCUCACAAGCAGUAGAGUCAAAAGGGCAAACUCAAAACAAGGCAAAACAAAACAUCCAGCACUGUAACUGCAAAGUACUGAAAAGGCCCUGGGGCGAGGUUUAUGACAAACCCGAACAGGGAAGGUUACUGACGAGUCAUAACCAUGUAGCGUUUACGGGGAGUCUGCGGGCGCCAAACACCCGGGGACAGAAGGGGCCAGGAGCGGCUCCGACACACUCCUGACCAGGAAAGCAGAGAGCUCUAGCCUUCGCCACCUUUGCGAUGCUCUGCGUACGGAAACACCGGCCCGAACGGAAGGCAGAGCUCCCCGUGAAAUCGUGCCCGGAAGCUAAGGCCGGCGCGGCGGGGCUGGCGAAGUAACCGGGGUAAACUGGGCUGAACCGCGCCGCCCGCGCGCGUCACCUCGUCACGGCCCAGACCCGCUUCGACAAUGAAACGUUCUAAGGAGAAGGAAACCAACGUAACCGCACUUGCUGGAGUCGGUGCGCUCACGCCCGGUGUGAUGGGCGCACGAGACUUUUCAACGGGAGUUUUCACUCAGUCAGUGUGUACAAACCACUUUUCGAUAGCCCCUCUGUGGUGCUUCUGUGUAUUAGGUACACAAAAACAUCUGCUGCCCCAAGACCAGAAGUGUAACGGGCACGUCCAUCUGAUAUCCAUUUGCGAACGUCUUCCGAUAUACAUCAAAUGUUGUUUUUCUUUAAGAUUUUAGGCUUCCUGAAAAACUUCACGCAGAUUCUUACACCCAGGCCAGUAUUGCAGUUUUAGAGAAAAAUACUUACUCUUCCGUUGGGGCCGCAACCAUUUUUUGCCCAGGUACAACACUGCGGCCAUCACCACCAUGUAGUUAAUUAUGGAGCCGACGCGAGAGGGGUAGGCAAUGACAAAUAGGCCAAGCACGUCAAAGAAGACCAUGUGUCCAUGGCGAUACUUUGAAGAAGAAGGCAACACAUCCGACGUAGCUAGAUAUUUAAGAACCGCUAAAAUGUUGUCACCUAUCAGUAAAGAAAAGAAAGACAACAGAGUUGAAUAAGCCACGCACUGUUUGACAGAAUGUGAACGACAACAGUUUCCCACCCUCUCCAUCUCCCCCCGGCCACCUUUCUCAUGAAAUUUCUCAGAUGAGGCCCAGGGCUCCGCUCUGUCUCCUCUCCACUCGGAAGCUCGGCCACCUGGCCUUCAUCUCUCCUUUGUCCCAGAACUAUCCUUUCCCUGCUGUUAUCGAACCCAAACACUGCUGCUCACUCUGUUCACUUAACGGGUAUCUCACGUAACAGCCACCGCUCUGGUUGCCAGAAAUUCGGUGCCGACCCAAGAGACACAAAGCCUGUCAGGAGGCCCACAGGCACCGAACAGGGAAUCACACAUGCCUUAAGAAUAAUGAGUGUCGAUUCUGUCUCAACUCAAUAAAGAGAAGUACGGGCAUCCCGUGGAGUCUGAGAGGUUAGGGAGGCCUUUCUGUGUAGACGCUCCUUGUCAAGCGCUUCCGUCCAGGCCGCCACCACGAAAGGACAAUGGGAGCGCCCGCCCACACGGACAGAUCAAGUCCCAAACGAGAGUCCAGGGGCAGAACCAGACUCCCCAGAGGUGUUCGCUCACCGACAGAGCGGAGAAGUCUGAACCGAAUACAGGGGCAGCGACAGGCCUUGAACCACCGACUGGCGGCCCCCCUGCCGCUCAUCCCACCCCUUCCUCCGCCAUCCACUUACACACCACACUACCUUAUCGUGGCAUUUGUGUCACUGGCUUGUCUGCCUUCAGAUAUGCUUUCCCCAAAAGCUCAGGCUGAGUCCUCUGUUCCAGAAACCGUUCCCAUUCUCCACGCGUUUGUGGCUUCCUCCAAGUCCUUCACGCCCACACCCGCGUUCCCAGUUCGACCAAGCGCUCUCCCGCCACAGCGCGAUUUCCACUGGGCCGCUUCACAGAGCCCCCGUCUCCAUCGGACGGAGUUCACGUCUCCUCCCUCCACGACUGCUCCGGGUCAGGUCACCUCCCCACGUUCCUAUUACAGCCGAUGGCACGUCCUUCCCCAGCCAGCUGGGCCCUACACUCCGCAGCCGUCCCUGCUGCUGGCCACCUGACCCGUCCCUUCCUUCUGACCGGGUAGCUCUUCUGCGACUUCCAUUCAGACCGCAGUCUGCCACUCUCCUCACCGACGGUCCACACGUACACACACACACACACACACACACUACUCUCGCUCUGCUCUUGCCCGGAGCAUCCUCUUCUAUGCGGGGUGGAGCCACAUCCUACCAACUUGUGAGUUAAGGUUCACGGUCAGCCUCCCCUCCCCUGACUACUCCAGACCCCUCUGAAAGUAUGUGGACUCCCUUGCCCUGUGUGGUCCUGACACUCAUUCUAGAACCCACUCACCUGCCCUCAUACGUGACCUGGACUGAUGGAACUUUUCUCCACCUGGGCAAACUGCCCAGACACGUGCCUGUACCUCCUCCGACACAUGCCUUCCAUUCUGGCUACAUGCCCGUUGCUCAGCAAUCCUACGUUAACCCUGGGCCCGCUCUCUUUCCAGUGCCUCACCACCAACAAUCUUAUGUUCUUAGUUGCUAAUCUAGACUUCAAGGCUAAAAUUCGGGCCCUCAACUCUAACUGCAAAGCCCCACCCGGCUCACGCACACCACAGGCCGCCUCCCUGAAGCACAGUCCCCGGGGAUAUUUACAGGUUUGCGGGUCAGCCCUAACAUUCCAUCUUAACACAGAUCACGAGUUUACAUUUGAAUACCAACCUGCUCUCUGAAUGGAAUCUGUCAGAAUUCUGUCUGCUGUGUCGUACUUGGUGUGAUAGAUGUAUCCGUUCUCAAUAAAAGCUAAGUCAAUUCCUAAGACACACAGGAAAAAACAAACAAACAAAAAAACACGUCAUUUUGCUUUAAAGAUCAACCUUUCUUUAGGCCUAUUUGGUUAAUGUAUCAAAUUCCAAAAAGACAAAACGUCAAAGCAGUGACGUGACUGCUUGGUCACACUUGUGAAUGAAUACCAUAUAAAUUCUCUUCCAAAUUCUUACAGAAUCUGUAGCCAUGGUACAUAAUGACCGAGGAAGUACACAUGUCGGGGAGACAUUGUAAGUCACACGGCAAGGGGUGGGAACACAGACCUCAGGAGGCCAUCGAAACUUCGCCAUUUCCAGCCCUGCCGGGCCAAGCCGAACUCCAGAUUCCCAGCAGCGGCACAAGCCGCCAGGGGAACUGGCAAAGACAGACCACAGGCAAAGUCAAAGGCCCCUCAAGGAGGUACUGCCACCUGUGGGGAAUGAAGUGCUAACCAGCUGCCCCCCCCACCCCCGUCCUGUUCUGCCGCAGUGUGGGGCAAGAUGACAUGUUCUAGAAAGGCAAGCAUUUAAGUAGACCAGAGUUUAAAAGGAAAAAAAAAAAAAAUGCCAGGAAAUCAGUUUCAGUGAGUCAGAAUAUACAGUUCUCCCGUAGAAAACAUGCUUUCAGAAAAAGCUGUUUACUCACAAACUCGCAAAAAACAAAACUCACUACUGGUUAAUUGCCGUCACGCCACAGCCCACGACAAAUACCUGGUAUGUUCCCAAAAUCCCUGUAGAUGCGGAAGUCGGUAUCUGAAGGAAUGAUCCCACUCUGGAAAACCUCCUGGGCCACCACUGAUGCAAACGGGUGUUUAGCGGCAGAAACAUAGGCCUGGACCAGCCACGGGUUUUCAGGACCUACAAGGACAGGCGAGGACUCAGGCAAGGGAACGUGGUCAUGUUUUAACACACCCAAAACGGUCCUGCGGUGGUCUGGGGAGGCAGGUCCAGACUUUGUUUUCGUCUUUUUUUCUGUGUUUUCUAACACUUCUCUGAUAAGCGUAUGCAACUUUCACAAUGAGAAAUCACCUUUCAGAAAGCAAAAUUAUUUUUAAUUAUAAAGUGACUGCACUAUGAAAAGUUUCAGUUUAAAAAUGAGAACCCACACAACAGUCCAUCAUUCUACGACAAGUACUGUCACUUUUCCAUCUUCAGUUGUCCUACAAACAUCUGGUUGUGUGUACACAGCUGUACUCACAGGGCACGUGCAGUCUGUCCACUGUGCUUUCGUUUAACAGACUGAACACGUUCUCCUGAGUUGCCAGGUACUGCAAUUACCAUUUUAAUAGCUACAACUUUUCUCUGAAAACACCCUAAGUUUUGUAUUAUUACCGUUUAUAUUUUUGAUCAUUAUUCAUAAUUCCGCAUGACAUCUUUAAGCACAUACGGCUUUUUCAAAUGCGGGAGAUUUUUCUUUGGGACGGUGAGAUAAACUGUAUUAUUGCUCGCGGCUACUCUGCUCCCUCCCACGUGACUCAUCACGCCUCCCGCAGAAGGAGCACGUCCACAUCCUCACCCUGUUCCCUGCAGGUGCGGCCCUGGAAACUGGUCUGGCCAACAGAUGUGAGCGGAGAAACAUGACCCUCAGCUGAGAAGAUGCUCAGGGACCAUCACACAGUCCCUCCCACCUGCUGACUUUGGCCAGGAGAUCAAUAUGUCCCUGAUGGACGCUUCUCCUUUAGUCUGGGUCCCAUAACGAAGGGCACACAUGGAACAAAACCACGGAACGUUCGUAACCACAGUUAUUCAGGAACCAAAACGUACUGAACAAGAUAUAAGCCUUUGCUGUUGUAAUCCACUGAGAUUCAGGGAUUGUUUGUUCCAACAAAAUUUAGCAAAAAGUUGACUCUGAUGGGCACAUCAAGUCAUUGUAUUUCAGGCAAUCUAAGAAUAUCAAGAUGUUUAUAACUUUAUAAACAAAUAAUCAAAUUGCUUUCCUACUGAAAAAAUGAUCAUAAAAGGUGGAGAUGGGGUGGAGUGUAACACUACAAAACCAAACGCCCAGGUGACCCAGAUACUCGUCACCAGACACGGAUUUUAAAACAACUAUGAUGAAUAUGUUCAGAAACACAGCAAGAAUUUUACAACUGCAA